rnacentral:rRNA from 1 species
AUGGCUCGGCCCGACGAGGUUUGUUUUUUGUGGUCACACAGACGGAUUGGAGAUGGCCAGAGGGCCGAGAUAUUGGCGAUGGAAGCGGCCGGGAUAAGAAAGCAUAUUAUAAUGGACAACUUCAUCAGCAGAUACGGUUCGUACGAUAAGUGCGGGCUUAUCAGGAGGGACAUUUACAAUCUUUGUUGCAGAGAAAAAAAUGAAGCUCAUUGCAAAGGGUGA